GGGUGAGUUAAGAUUUUAAGUCGCAUCAGCAAUAUUUCAGCCAUAUCGUGACUAAUAACAAGUUAAAAUGUCACACACAAAACAUUGAAAAUUAUAAAAGCCUGUCGGCGAAGGACAGUAAAAUUAACUAGAAUAUCACAGAUAUAAUUGUAAAACUAGUAUGAAUAUCUCUUAACUUUCAAAGACAAUACUGUAUAAAAAACGUGCUAUAGAUCACCAAGAACUGACGGUAGAUCACCAUACUGGGGAUCAUGGCGCCUUUGCUACCUGCAUGGACCCUGGCUGGAUUUACACCAUCCCUUCAAGGAUUGGCGAUUGUAGCCAGAAUUAGCUAUACAUUAAAAAAACACAUAUUCUACGACUAAAAACACGUAAUAUGAAAACACCUUUGAAUGAAAUGGGACUUACAUACUAUCAGCAUUGGAAAAGGUGAGUAUGAUUGAGUUAAGAUUUUAAGUCACAUGGGCAAUAUUUCAGCCAUAUCGUGACUAUUAACAAGUUAUAAUGUCAUAAGAAAUCAAUAUAAAAACCUGUCGGCGAAGGACAGUAAAAAUAACAAGAAUAUCGCAGAUGCAAUUGUAAAACUAGUAUGAAAAUCUAAAAAUAUCUUAACUAUGAAAGACAUUAAAAUAUA